UCUUUUAGACAUUGGGUAGGGGAGCGUUCUGUAAGCCGUUGAAGGUGAAUCGUAAGGUUUGCUGGAGGUAUCAGAAGUGCGAAUGCUGACAUGAGUAACGACAAAGGGGGUGAAAAACCUCCUCGCCGGAAGACCAAGGGUUCCUGUCCAACGUUAAUCGGGGCAGGGUGAGUCGACCCCUAAGGUGAGGCCGAAAGGCGUAAUCGAUGGGAAACGGGUUAAUAUUCCCGUACUUCUGACUAUUGCGAUGGGGGGACGGAGAAGGCUAGGUGGGCCAGGCGACGGUUGUCCUGGUUCAAGUGCGUAGGCUUGAGAGUUAGGUAAAUCCGGCUCUCUCUAAGGCUGAGACACGACGUCGAGCUACUACGGUAGUGAAGUCAUUGAUGCCAUGCUUCCAGGAAAAGCCUCUAAGCUUCAGAUAGUCAGGAAUCGUACCCCAAACCGACACAGGUGGUCGGGUAGAGAAUACCAAGGCGCUUGAGAGAACUCGGGUGAAGGAACUAGGCAAAAUGGUACCGUAACUUCGGGAGAAGGUACGCUCUUGAUGGUGAAGUCCCUCGCGGAUGGAGCUGACGAGAGUCGCAGAUACCAGGUGGCUGCAACUGUUUAUUAAAAACACAGCACUGUGCAAAAUCGCAAGAUGACGUAUACGGUGUGACGCCUGCCCGGUGCCGGAAGGUUAAUUGAUGGGGUUAGCGCAAGCGAAGCUCUUGAUCGAAGCCCCGGUAAACGGCGGCCGUAACUAUAACGGUCCUAAGGUAGCGAAAUUCCUUGUCGGGUAAGUUCCGACCUGCACGAAUGGCGUAAUGAUGGCCACGCUGUCUCCACCCGAGACUCAGUGAAAUUGAAAUCGCUGUGAAGAUGCAGUGUACCCGCGGCUAGACGGAAAGACCCCGUGAACCUUUACUACAGCUUGGCACUGAACAUUGAACCUACAUGUGUAGGAUAGGUGGGAGGCUAUGAAGACGUGACGCCAGUUGCGUUGGAGCCGUCCUUGAAAUACCACCCUUGUAUGUUUGAUGUUCUAACUUAGACCCGUUAUC
rnacentral:rRNA from 1 species